UGCCCAGCAACUCCUAUCCCUACCUCCACGUGGUACCGGCCGGAAACUAUGAGCAACCUUAGGGAAGAUCGGGUAACCAACCCCGGUGGGAACUUUGGUCGUAGGCUGACAGGGAAGG
rfam:Aedes albopictus isolate Foshan contig63478, whole genome shotgun sequence.